rnacentral:rRNA from 1 species
UACGUAGGGGGCAAGCGUUGUCCGGAUUUAUUGGGCGUAAAGAGCGUGUAGGCGGCCAAGCAGGUCAGCUGUGAAAACUCGAGGCUCAACCUCGAGACGUCGGUUGAAACCGCUUGGCUAGAGUCCGGAAGAGGAGAGUGGAAUUCCUGGUGUAGCGGUGAAAUGCGCAGAUAUCGGGAAGAACACCCGUGGCGAAGGCGGCUCUCUGGGACGGUACUGACGCUGAGACGCGAAAGCGUGGGAGCGAACAGG